rnacentral:lncRNA from 1 species
AUUUUCAGUUUCAUUUACAUGAGAUUUAUUUGAGACUUAAGUUCUCAAGUUUGUAUGUUAAGCUAGUUUUGAGAUUUGGAAAUUAGAACUUGUUUUAUAGUUAAUUGUCAAACUUAGACUUCUUUUGCUUUGUUUUAAUCCGUAACGAUUUCACUGGUCAAAAUAGUAUGUAAUUCAUUAAUGUUAAGUAGCAUAGUCCAGAGCUCAUUUGCACAAGAACUGACACCCCAGUGAUUGGUCUUGAUGAAUUUAGCUGGAUUUGGGCCUGUAAGGACUCAAUGUUAAGUCUGGAUGCAUUUGAGGUUGCAAAUUUGGGCUCACUUCUGGGCCCAAGUCUGACAGCCUCAGUGAAUAUAAUUUGGGCCACAAUUCGAUUCCUGUAAGGUCCAGUUGUACCGUUGGUUACCUUAUUUUGGACUUCACAUGGGGAGCCUAUUUAAGGCUUUUGAUUGUUAGCUAAAAGACCAUAGGGAACCUUUAGCUAUAUCUAAUGUUAAUUAAUUAAGUCCAUUUUUUAGAAUGGAGACGAGUCAUAAUAGACAAUCGUAGUUUAUGACUCUACGAGUUUUAAGACAUCCUUUCAAAAAAAUUUAAUUGAGGUGCGCGGCGCCAAAUAAAAUGACAAAUGCGCAGCCCUCAUGUAAUUAUUUCUCUGAAAAUACUUAGAACUCGAUUCAGGCAAUUUAGCAAAUUUUCAUGGCUCUCACAAAGUUAACAACGCAUUAGUUGCUUUAGGUGCGGCAUAUUUAAUAAAUUUACCUUCGUAAACUUGGGUGUGCAUUUCAUGUGAUCCAAAUUCAAAUCCCAA